UAGAUUCUAUUACGAAAAUCAGGAUUUUUGCAUUUUUUUGCCGUCGCAUUAUUUUGAAACUUAUUCGGUCAAAUUUUAUGGUAAAGAGAAACUUACCGCGAAGAUUUUGAGCAUAUAUAUGAUUGAAUUGGAUGAAAACUCGCAAAAUUAUCCAUCGAUAAAAGUUCGUGUAUAGUACUGAUAUAGUACAAUAUAUGUAACUUGUACAGUUUUGCUUUAAUUUUUGCUCACUAUUUGCAUAAAAAGCAA